CUUAUACAUGCAGUCGAGCGGUAGAGUGACUUCGGUUGCUUGAGAGCGGCGCACGGGUGAGUAACGCGUACACAAUCUACCUUUCAGAGUGGGAUAGCCCCGGGAAACUGGGAUUAAUACCGCAUAGUAUUUAUAAUCGGCAUCGGUUAUAAAUUAAAGCUCCGGCGCUGGAAGAUGAGUGUGCGUACUAUUAGCUAGUUGGUAAGGUAACGGCUUACCAAGGCUACGAUAGUUAGGGGGCGUGAGAGCGUGACCCCCCACACGGGUACUGAGACACGGACCCGACUCCUACGGGAGGCAGCAGUAAGGAAUAUUGGACAAUGGGCGCAAGCCUGAUCCAGCCACCCCGCGUGGAGGAUGACUGCCCUAUGGGUUGUAAACUCCUUUUAUAUGAGAAGAAACGCCUGGAUUUAUCCGGGCCUGACGGUAUCUUAUGAAUAAGCACCGGCUAACUCCGUGCCAGCAGCCGCGGUAAUACGGAGGGUGCAAGCGUUAUCCGGAAUCACUGGGUUUAAAGGGUGCGUAGGUGGUUUAGUAAGUCAGAUGUGAAAGCCCGUCGCUCAACGUCGGAAUUGCAUUUGAUACUGCUGAACUUGAAUCACGUUGAGGUGGGCGGAAUGUGGCAUGUAGCGGUGAAAUGCAUAGAUAUGCCAUAGAACACCAAUUGC
rnacentral:rRNA from 1 species